rnacentral:rRNA from 1 species
GAUGAACGCUGGCGGCGUGCCUAACACAUGCAAUUCGAGCGAUUCUCUUCGGAGAAGAGCGGCGGACGGGUGAGUAACGCGUGGGUAACCUGCCCUGUACACACGGAUAACAUACCGAAAGGUAUGCUAAUACGGGAUAAAAUGUUUUGAUCGCAUGGUCGAAAUAUCAAAGCUCCGGCGGUACAGGAUGGACCCGUGUCUGAUUAGCUAGUUGGUGAGGUAAUGGCUCACCAAGGCGACGAUCAGUAGCCGACCUGAGAGGGUGAUCGGCCACAUUGGAACUGAGACACGGUCCAAACUCCUACGGGAGGCAGCAGUGGGGAAUAUUGCACAAUGGGCGAAAGCCUGAUGCAGCAACGCCGCGUGAGCGAUGAAGGCCUUCGGGUCGUAAAGCUCUGUCCUCAAGGAAGAUAAUGACGGUACUUGAGGAGGAAGCCCCGGCUAACUACGUGCCAGCAGCCGCGGUAAUACGUAGGGGGCUAGCGUUAUCCGGAAUUACUGGGCGUAAAGGGUGCGUAGGUGGUUUCUUAAGUCAGAGGUGAAAGGCUACGGCUCAACCGUAGUAAGCCUUUGAAACUGAGAAACUUGAGUGCAGGAGAGGAGAGUAGAAUUCCUAGUGUAGCGGUGAAAAUGCGUAGAUAUUAGGAGGAAUACCAGUUGCGAAGGCGGCUCUCUGGACUGUAACUGACACUGAGGCACGAAAGCGUGGGGAGCAAACAGGAUUAGAUACCCUGGUAGUCCACGCCGUAAACGAUGAGUACUAGCUGUCGGGAGGUUACCCCCUUCGGUGGCGCAGCUAACGCAUUAAGUACUCCGCCUAGGAAAAGUACGCUCCGCAAGAGUUGUACUUCAAAGGAAUUGACGGGGACCUGCAACAAAGGUAGCGGGAUGCAAUGGUUGUUUUAAUUUCGGAGCAACCGUCUGAGAAACCUUACCUAAGCUU